rnacentral:rRNA from 1 species
GACAGAGGAUGCAAGCGUUAUCCGGAAUGAUUGGGCGUAAAGCGUCUGUAGGUGGCUUUUUAAGUCCGCCGUCAAAUCCCAGGGCUCAACCCUGGACAGGCGGUGGAAACUACCAAGCUGGAGUACGGUAGGGGCAGAGGGAAUUUCCGGUGGAGCGGUGAAAUGCGUAGAGAUCGGAAGGAACACCGGUGGCGAAGGCGGGUCUCUGGGCAAUUCCUGACGCUGAGGCGCGAAAGCUAGGGGAGCAAACAGG